AUACGGAGGAUCCGAGCGUUAUCCGGAUUUAUUGGGUUUAAAGGGUGCGCAGGCGGCCAUUUAAGUCAGCGGUUAAAUCGUGGGGCUCAACCCCAUUCUGCCGUUGAUACUGGGUGGCUUGAUUGCGGUCGAGGUUGGCGGAAUUCGUUGUGUAGCGGUGAAAUGCAUAGAUAUGACGAAGAACACCGAUUGCGUAGGCAGCUGACCAGACCGCAAAUGACGCUCAUGCACGAAAGUGCGGGGAUCGAACAGGACUAGAUACCCUGGUAGUCCGCACAGUAAACGAUGAAUACUUGUUUUCGGCGAUAUAAUGUCGGAGGCAAAGCGAAAGCGAUAAGUAUUCCACCUGGGGAGUACGCCGGCAACGGUGAAACUCAAAUGAAUUGGCGGGG
rnacentral:rRNA from 1 species